rnacentral:rRNA from 1 species
AUUGAACGCUGGCGGCAGGCUUAACACAUGCAAGUCGAGCGGGGUGAUGGUGCUUGCACUAUCACUUAGCGGCGGACGGGUGAGUAAUGCUUAGGAAUCUGCCUAUUAGUGGGGGACAACAUCUCGAAAGGGAUGCUAAUACCGCAUACGUCCUACGGGAGAAAGCAGGGGAUCACUUGUGACCUUGCGCUAUUAGAUGAGCCUAAGUCGGAUUAGCUAGUUGGUGGGGUAAAGGCCUACCAAGGCGACGAUCUGUAGCGGGUCUGAGAGGAUGAUCCGCCACACUGGGACUGAGACACGGCCCGGACUCGUACGGGAGGGAGCGGUGGGGAAUAUUGGACAAUGGGGGGGACCCUGAUCCAGCCAUGCCGCGUGUGUGAAGAAGGCCUUAUGGUUGUAAAGCACUUUAAGCGAGGAGGAGGCUCUUUUGGUUAAUACCCAAGAUGAGUGGACGUUACUCGCAGAAUAAGCACCGGCUAACUCUGUGCCAGCCGCCGCCGUAAGAC